CAGCCGCCGCGGGAAAACGAAGGGUGCAAGCGUUACUCGGAAUUACUGGGCGUAAAGCGUGUGUAGGUGGUUGUUUAAGUCUGUCGUGAAAGCCCUGGGCUCAACCUGGGAAUUGCGAUGGAUACUGGGCGACUAGAGUGCGGUAGAGGAUAGUGGAAUUUCCGGUGUAGCAGUGAAAUGCGUAGAGAUCGGAAGGAACAUCUGUGGCGAAGGCGACUAUCUGGGCCAACACUGACACUGAGACACGAAAGCGUGGGGAGCAAACAGGAUUAGAUACCCGGGUAGUCCCUGUCUCUUAUAC
rnacentral:rRNA from 1 species